CUAAAAUCUGUUUUCAUUAGACAUACCCUGAUUCUUCAUUCUUUCUGUAAUUUCAAGAAAGUAUAUGAGCUUCUGUUACUUAGAAAGUUGGGUCUUCAUGCUGAAGGCUAUGCUGUAUACAUGCUAAAUAAAUUUCUAUUCCUUUUAUUCUAUUAAUUACUCUAAGCUCCACUCUUUCUUCCCAGCUUGUCUCAUGUCAGUGAUUUUUCAAUAAAUCCUUAUGAAGUCAAGAGCCCAUGGACCCCACAGUACAGUGCAGCAAGCAGGAUGAUCAAAGUUGCUUUUCUGUUCUGGAAGCCACAGUUGAAGAGAACACAGGAAACUACUCUCCUGGCAAUGGGCCAUGGCAAGGCCUGGGGAAAUGUGGAGUUCUCCCCAGCACAACUGUGCCCUCUGACAAUGCUGGUAAGGAUUGGACAUUAUCUGCACCUCUGUCUUUUGUUCUGGGCUCUGCAUCUGACACCUAAUUAAAAUUGCUUACCUAUUAAGUUUUUCAGUAAAAAAAAAGGUGUUACUAAGAGUUAACAUUGUAAUUAAUAUAUGUAAUUCAAACUACUAGUAUACAGAAAACAUUUUUAUUUACAAAGAAUACAAACGCAAAUAGAAUGUGUUUGAAAAAAGGGUUAUAAGAAGGCAAGGCAAUAUGGUUUUGGCUAAAGGGAAAGUAAUUAUAGCUAGUUUAGA
rnacentral:lncRNA from 10 species